GGUGGCUCAGUGGUAGAGUACUCGCCUUACAUGCAUGAGGCCCUGGGUUCAAUUCCUCAGCACCA
rfam:Dipodomys ordii contig_21782, whole genome shotgun sequence.